UACGUAGGGUGCAAGCGUUAAUCGGAAUUACUGGGCGUAAAGCGUGCGCAGGCGGUUUUGUAAGUCUGUCGUGAAAUCCCCGGGCUCAACCUGGGAAUUGCGAUGGAGACUGCAAGGCUAGAAUCUGGCAGAGGGGGGUAGAAUUCCACGUGUGAGCAGUGAAAUGCGUAGAUAUGCGGAGGAACACCGAUGGCGAAGGCAAUCCCCUGGGCCUGUACUGACGCUCAUGCACGAAAGCGUGGGGAGCAAACAGG
rnacentral:rRNA from 1 species